rnacentral:rRNA from 1 species
UACGGAGGGUGCGAGCGUUGUCCGGAAUUAUUGGGCGUAAAGAGUGCGUAGGCGGUGUUCCAAGUCUGUCGUGAAAUCUCCCGGCUUAACUGGGAGGGUGCGGCGGAAACUGGAAUGCUAGAGGGUGGGAGAGGUAAGCGGAAUUCCUGGUGUAGCGGUGAAAUGCGUAGAUAUCAGGAGGAACACCGGUGGCGAAGGCGGGUCUCUGGGCCGGUACUGACGCUGAGGAGCGAAAGCGUGGGGAGCGAACAGG